UUUAAUUUAAGAAGCAUUGAUCCAGGAAAUAUCUUAAACCCAAACAAAAACUCAAAUAAAUUUAACUAGAGUACAAUAUGUAAUGACAUUUAAACUACAAAAUAUUGCAAGCUAUAAAAAUAUUACAAACUAUAAAAGUAUGGGUUAGUAUUAUAUCCUACUUAUCUUUUGUUUAAGCCUUAAAUUAAAUAGGAGGAUAAUAUUACCAUUAUGGUAGGAACAAUGUGUUCUGUAACAAAAAUAGGACUCAAAAUAUUCAUGGCAUCUCUUUUCUUCUUCCAAAUCACUUUAUACUUGAAUGAUUUAGUUAUGAAUAGAGGUUAAGGUGGACAAUCUUAGGACCAGAGAAAAUGAGUCUUUGUUUCAAAUUCUAAUUUUGCUGCUUAAGUUUAAUAAUCAAUGUGAACCUCCCUUUGUUCAUCUGGAAAAUGGAAGUAAAACCACCUGGCAUGGUUUCAGUGAAGACUAAAGACAUGUAAAACACCAAGCUCUGUGCUUGGUUCAUAAGAGACGUUUAACAACUGGAAACUCUUAAUACCAUUUGCAUUCUUUUGAGGGUAAAUACAUUGAUUUUCAUCUCCAUUUUUUAGCAUGCUAAAUAUUAUCUACUAUAUAAUUUUUUCUUAUCUUAUCUUAUCUCUUGAUGAAAUCUAAUUCAUCAGCCUGUCAAUUUGAUCUCUUGAGGUCUUUAACAUUGUGGUAUUUCCAACUUUAUAUUCUGCAAACUGCAAGCUUCCAAAUCAAAUGCACUUUGUUCUGAUUUAGCGUAUUGAAAUUUUCUGUAGAAUGGCUAGAUCCAAAUAGUCUAUUUGGGCCCCAGCAUCACAUAAUAUACUCAUGUAAUAAACCUGCACAUGUACCCCCUGAAUCCAAAAAAUAGUUGAAGUUAUAAAAAUAAAAAAUAAUUAUUUUAGGGUAUAUUAGUCUGUGUUCACACUGCUAUAAAGAUACUAUCUGAGACUGGGUAAUUUAUAAAGAAAGGAGGUAUUAUUGACUCACAGUUCCACAUGGCUGGGGAGGGCUCAGGAAACUUACAGUCGUGGCAGAAGUCAAAGGGGUAGCUAGCACCUUCUGCACAGGGCAGCAGGAGAGAUAGAGAGAGCAAGCAAAGGAGCAUCGCCACACUUUAAAACCAUCCACUCUCUUGAGAAUUCACGCACUCUCAUGAGGACAACACGGGGGAAAUCGCCCCCAUGAUCUAACAUCUACCAAGUCCCUCCCCUGACAUGUGAGGAUUAUAAUUAGAGAUGAGAUUUCUGUGGAGACACAGAGCCAAACCAUGUCAUAGGGUAAUGACUGAUUUAAAGGUUUUAUUCAGCUUCCAAAUGCCAAUACCUUUAUACAUCAAGCACUGUGGUAAGCAGUGGGGACACGUAUGAAAACCAUUAAACUCUCACCUUGCAAAGACUGAAUCUCUCAGUAUUAUUUUCAAGAAAGGCCAAAAAGAGUAUGUGUGUGCCUGUGUGUGUGUGUGUGUGUGUGUGUGUGUCUAUUUAUAUAUAGAAAGUAUGAACAACAUAUCAUAAGGACAAAAAAUGAAAAGAGACACAUAGCACUAUAUACUAUGGUUCUGGUGAAGGAGGGAAUAAAGAAGUUGAUACCCAAAAGCCAUAGAUUGGGCAAGAAGGAUUAGAGACUCUUCCUCAGCACAGUUAGUUCUGAACCAGUAAUAGUAGGAUUUUCAACCAGAUGCUGUAGCAAUGAAAUUUAAAUGACAAUCUAAAAGAUAAUCUAAAAAUAAUAAAACAAUCUGGAAAUAACAUUAACUUUCUCUUCUGGCAUCUAAAUCCCGAGUAAUUGUGCCUUAGAUUGCAGAAGAGUUUAAAUUAAUUUAGUUCAAUGAAGUGAAAUAAGCUGUCUUUACUUUUAUUUCCCCAAUUCGAUAUAAGAAAAGAGUAUAACUCUAUAGUAAAUCCUUUUACAACUGUGAUGUAAGUACACUCAUUUAUAUAGUUUCAGUACUUGAUAAGUAAUCAAAACAUCCUUUGCUAAGAAAUAAAGUCUUACAAUAUAUGUAUGGUAUGUGAUUAUAUAAAUGUAUUUUUAUACUUGUAUUUGAAAUAAAGCAAUUUUUAAAUCAAA
rnacentral:lncRNA from 1 species